AGGGAUGAUGGGAAGCCUGGACUUGUUUAUCGGUUUGUACGGAACUUCACCCGCGGUACAGUACGGCCUGAGAAUUUUGUUCCAGCACCGGUGUGAGGAAAACAUCUGAGCCCAUGAAUUGCCAGACCCUGGAUACCUGAGACACAUCCACUUGCUUCUCAGGUUUGGAGUGCAUAAUGAGGAGAAAUAAACACAGAAAGAUCUCCAGAAAGAAGCCAUGGUAAGAUUCAAGGUUUCACAGUCCAAGCUAAUGCCUGUAGACACUUGACCAAGUGAUCUGAGAAAAUUGGAUUUCUGGCAAAACAAGUGUACCUAGACUCAGGCAAGGGUGGAGAACAGAGGGCGACUAGAUUAAAUGGAAAGAAUGCCCAGGCAUCCCAUUGCCUCCCUUUGAUGUUCCAGAACUUCGUCAAGACAGUGAUGAGCUACAUGUACACCUGGAGGAGGACCAUGCAGAAUACCAUCCAGCGCCAUGAACACUAGUCAGUCAGUCAGUAAUGGUGAACUUCUCGUUGUGCUCCAGCUCAAUUUUCUCAUGUUUGAUGAUGGCUAUUUGGUACUGGACAACCAAUUGGAGUGUUGUUUGCGGGGGAGGACCACCUCUCCAGGUAGAAUCUAAACAUCAGAAAAUCAACAACCCAGUUAAAAUAAUCUAGAGCACUAACCAGAGCGUUCUCAGAAGAAGCACUACAAACGGCUAAGAAACACAAGACUGCUCAACAUCCUUUGCCAUCAGGGAAACACAGAAGCUCACUUUUCAGUUUUCAUCUUUCUGGAGUCAGAAUGGUUAUCGUCAAGAAUGCCAGUGACAUGGAUGUAGAGGACGGAUUCCUUCAUUGUCUAAGUCUCUGGAAAUAGUGCAGAAGAGUAGUCAGGGACUAAAAGAUGGAAGACAGAAAGUUCCAUCCUAGAGACUCAAUACAGCCAUUGCAAUGAUGAACUCACAAAAACUGCAUUUACCUGAACUUAGCCUGCUCAAGACAUUGAAAGUGUUUCAAAGUAGCUUUUCCUGUUGUGAAUGUACCUCUCAGCUAGUCUGGUUUCUGGUUCAGAGCUCUUAGGCACAGAGUUGUCUUGAACAUUUGCUUACAGGCACUUGUGUAGAUAUCAGCUGCUUUUUUUUUGUUAAAUCUCUGAAGUAAAUGCCUAGGCGUUCAAUGGCAAUGUUAUAUCAGUAUGUAUUUAGCUUAGUUUUAAAAUAAGAAACUGUCAAAUACUUUUGUAGAAUUACUGGACCAUUUUACACCCCUGCCAACAAAGUAAGAUUGAUCCAGCUCCCCACAUUCUCAUAAACAUUUGUUUUUGUUUCUUUAAGAAGACAAGUUAACCAUUCCAUUUAUUGAGAAUUUACUUACCAUUCAGUGCAUUGCUUAGAUAUGUAGUAUUCAGUUUUUAGUACACAUACAAGGUUGUGUAUCGAUUACUACUAAUUCCAGAACAUUUCCAUUACCAUAGAAAAAGAAACCCAAUAUUCAUUUUCAUCUCUCCUCUAUGGACUUACCUAAUCUAGAUAUACCAAAUAAAUGGAAUUUUUAUAAAAUAUGACCUUUUGUUUGGCUUCUUUCAUUUAGAAUAGAAUUUCAAGGUUUCUCCAUAUUCUACCAGCCUUCAAAUUAAUUUCAGUUGUUGUGCUUUCAGGUUUCAGAAUUUCUUUUCAUUUUCUGUUUAUAAUUUCAAAAUUAUUGUUUAAUAUCUGUUUAAUAAAACAGGUGUUUUGAAAUAUAUUUUAUUAGUUCUUUAAGUAUUUAAUAUAUACUUUGGUCAUUUUCACCCCCUUCCAUAAACUCCUUUUAAUUAUUUGCCAGCAGCUUCUCUGGUGGGGUGUAUCCACCUUCCCUUCCCAUGCAGAGCUCUAGUCUAGCUUAGGCUUGCACAGGUCUUUUGCUGUCACAACCACUGUGAGUUCAUAUACAUAACUAAGUGAACAUAAUGUUAACCUGACAUUUAUACUCAUAUUUUAAUAAACCUGUCCACCUUCACUAGAGCAGCUUCUCUUUUUAGUAGUUAGUAGCACAGAGACCCACAACUGACUAUGGUGUGGAGAAAAAGACUGGGAAUCUCUUAUUCUAGUCUUUUCUAGAUCAAAUCCAUUAUAGUAAGGUAAUAUAUUCCAUAUGAUUUCCAUUGUUUUAUAAUUGGUAGAAUUUGUUUUAUGGCCCAAGAAGCAAUCUAGGCUCCUGUCUUUGAUACACAUAUUUCCAUUCAUCUGAAUUCUCUAUGCAUUAAUUUAAGAACUAAUUAUUUGCACAAGAAUUCCCCAUUCAUUAUUUCCACUUUACUUCAGUAGCUAUAGUCAGAGUCUAAAGGAACGGUAAGUUUCUUAAAUUUCUUCUGCUUUGUGUGUGUUUGAGGAUGCGCGUGGAAUGUGAAUUUCAGGACAAGAGACAGCAUUUCUUAGCUGUAAUUUAUAUAAUUGCCUGCAGGUGGUAGCAAAGCAACACAAAAAAAUAUCAACUCCUUUUCCUUCAUCCUUUGUUUCAGUUUGGGGUGUGUGUGUGUGUGUGUGUGCUUGUUUGUUGUGGUUUUGUUUUUGAUACAGGGUUUCUCUGUGUAGUCCUGGCUGUCCUGGACUAGCAUUGUAGAUGAGGCAGGCCUCCAACUCACAGAGAUCCACCUGCCUCUGCCUCAAGUACUGGGAUUAAAGGUGUGUGCCACCUUGCCCUGGCCAUCAUUUGUGUUUUAAAGAAACAGAAAUGAGUGUUUUUUGCUGCCUUGAAAGCUGGUAAACUUGCUUGGAAAAUAUCCCUUUUAAAUAUGUUUGCUAAUUUUGGAAAUGAAAAAGAUUUAUUAUUUGUAAGUGCCAUUUACCAAUGGUAGGCUAAGUUUACAUUUGCAUGUUUUUAUUGGCUAUUUUCCCCUCUAAUUUAUCUAUUUGUUUUUAUUGUUCAUUUUCCUGUUCAAGGUUAAGAGGAAAACUCUGCUUUUUUUAUCUUACCGUUAUUAAAGUAAUACAUCUCAUUAUGGAAAAUUAAAAAUACCAGAAUCACUCUAAAAAGAAAAAAAAACCCUACAUAGUACCAUUAUUACCAUCUUAAUACAUUUUACUCAUUCCUAUAUUAUUAAUGUGUUGGUGGGAUAUUGUGAGCUUAGAUUAUUUUGUCCAGUUUAUUUCCAAAUUUCUAAAUAAAAUUGAUCGUGACCC
ensembl:processed_transcript 5530601H04Rik RIKEN cDNA 5530601H04 gene